rnacentral:rRNA from 1 species
UACGUAGGGUGCAAGCGUUGUCCGGAAUUAUUGGGCGUAAAGAGCUCGUAGGCGGUCUGUUACGUCGGCUGUGAAAACCUGGGGCUCAACUCCGGGCCUGCAGCCGAUACGGGCAGACUAGAAUUCGGUAGGGGAGACGUGGAAUUCCUGGUGUAGCGGUGAAAUGCGCAGAUAUCAGGAGGAACACCGGUGGCGAAGGCGGGUCUCUGGGCCGAUAUUGACGCUGAGGAGCGAAAGCGUGGGGAGCGAACAGG